AUUGAACGCUGGCGGCAGGCCUAACACAUGCAAGUCGAGCGGUAGCACAGAGAGCUUGCUCUCGGGUGACGAGCGGCGGACGGGUGAGUAAUGUCUGGGAAACUGCCUGAUGGAGGGGGAUAACUACUGGAAACGGUAGCUAAUACCGCAUAACGUCUUCGGACCAAAGAGGGGGACCUUCGGGCCUCUUGCCAUCAGAUGUGCCCAGAUGGGAUUAGCUAGUAGGUGAGGUAAUGGCUCACCUAGGCGACGAUCCCUAGCUGGUCUGAGAGGAUGACCAGCCACACUGGAACUGAGACACGGUCCAGACUCCUACGGGAGGCAGCAGUGGGGAAUAUUGCACAAUGGGCGCAAGCCUGAUGCAGCCAUGCCGCGUGUGUGAAGAAGGCCUUCGGGUUGUAAAGCACUUUCAGCGGGGAGGAAGGCGGUGAGAUUAAUACUCUCAUCGAUUGACGUUACCCGCAGAAGAAGCACCGGCUAACUCCGUGCCAGCCGCCGCGGUAAUAC
rnacentral:rRNA from 1 species